UUGGUUGCCAGUGAAAUUUUG
ensembl:piRNA 21ur-5106 ncRNA